rnacentral:rRNA from 1 species
GUGGGGAAUAUUGGACAAUGGGGGGAACCCUGAUCCAGCCAUGCCGCGUGUGUGAAGAAGGCCUUUUGGUUGUAAAGCACUUUAAGCGAGGAGGAGGCUACCGAGAUUAAUACUCUUGGAUAGUGGACGUUACUCGCAGAAUAAGCACCGGCUAACUCUGUGCCAGCAGCCGCGGUAAUACAGAGGGUGCAAGCGUUAAUCGGAUUUACUGGGCGUAAAGCGCGCGUAGGUGGCCAAUUAAGUCAAAUGUGAAAUCCCCGUGCUUAACUUGGGAAUUGCAUUCGAUACUGGGUGGCUAGAGUAUGGGAGAGGAUGGUAGAAUUCCAGGUGUAGCGGUGAAAUGCGUAGAGAUCUGGAGGAAUACCGAUGGCGAAGGCAGCCAUCUGGCCUAAUACUGACACUGAGGUGCGAAAGCAUGGGGAGCAAACAGGAUUAGAAACCCCGGUAGUCC